UAUUUCUUUCAAUAAACACAUUUUUCCAAAGCUGCAUAUACCUAUAAUUUUGACACGAGUUAUGUCGGCUUAGACUUAACGACGUUAGCUGCAUCCUUCAGUAGCAACCACCGAGCUCCGUUCACAAGUUCUUCCUUCACCAUGAACAAAACCGCUGCCGCAAGAACACUUUGAACAAUCUUUGUGCUCAUCCCUUUGUAGAAGCCAUGGAGACCUUCAUAGUGUAUCAUCUUUAGAAUUGCAUCCAACGUGCCUAUGGGGAAACACGGUUUCAGUAAAGACGUAAACACGUCGUUGCUUCAGCUUCUUUAGUAAGGUCUCAUACAGCAUGAACUGUAUGGAAGGAUUGCUGACCUGGCAGAAACAAAAUGGACAAGAAGUGACGAUCCUGCAGCAUGGAGCAUAUAUAAAUUGACACGUACCAUAAUCAGUGUCGGGAACACGCCUUUCCAAAAUCCCAAGAUUCCAGCUUCGUUGAAGACUUCUUGAACCUGCAGAAAACAAAUUAUUUGAUUUACAGCUUCAGUAAUUCAUCAGAUUAUAUGUAAGUAGAGGUGUACAAAAAAAUCGGUUUUAGAACCGAAACCUGGAAAAAACCGAAACCGGUUUUUUUUUUAACCGGUUUUUUUUAUAACCGAACCAGUUUUAUAACCGAACCGCCGGUUUGUGACCGGUUACUAAUCUUGAUCUGAAAAACCGGUUAAUAACCGAAAAUGGUUUUAAAAAAACGGUUAAAAACCGGUUUUUUUGGAAAAAACCGGUUAAAACCCGGUCCCAACCGGUUACACCGGUUAUUGUUUUGGACUUGAAAAACCGGUUAUAAAAAAAAAAAAACGGUUUUCUUUUUGGGUGAAAAAAACAGGUUCGGUUAAUAACCGAAACCGGUUUUUGAAAAAAACUGAUUUGUACACCUCUAUAUGUAAGUCACACACAAGUCACAACCAGGCAGCUAUAUCAUAAUUUACAUAAUGGACACCAUAGUAUCGAAUAUCGAUUAACAAUUCAGACAUAGUUAAAUACUAGAAUUUAAAGAGGAGCACAAACCGCAUUGCUAGUUGCGUAUGGAGGUGGUUCUACGCCACCGACAAUCGCAUGUUCUUUAACAAUAGACGGAACCUCGUCGGAUGGAGAUUUCUUUGUGUGGGUCUGCAAAAUAAGCAAAAUAUCAAAACCACGAUGAUUUGGAACCCACUUUAAACAGCUAGCAAUUACAAGAAAAUCCAGAAAACACUGCCUUAGUGCGGUAGAUUAAAAUUUGAGUUAAUUACUGUUUUCGUCCCUGUGGUUUGUCAAAAAUCACUAUUUCAGUCCAUUAGUUUAAAAGUUGCGAUUUCAGUCCCUGUGGUUUCACUUUCGUAACCAUUUCAGUCCACCUCGUAACCAUUUCAGUCCCUGUACUUAACAGAAUAAUGGAUUGAAAUGGUUACGAAAGUGAAACCACAGGGACUGAAAUCGCAACUUUUAAACUAAUGGACUGAAAUAGUGAUUUUUGACAAACCACAGGGACGAAAACAGUAAUUAACUCUUAAAAUUUAGAACUCCACAGUUUAUACUUGACAAUUAAGAAUAUGUCACUCGGUCCCUUACCUGCAUACGGGUCACAACUACCCAUAUAGGAUUUGUCAGCAGCACAUUGACACACCUAAAAAACAAGUCAAGACAACUGCUUAACAUCACAUACAACUAUACAGAUCAAUAUCUCACCAGUUGUAUAUAUUAAUCAUCCAAGAAAAUUUGGAUGGAAAAAAAUAACAGAAUACAUGAGGAUUUUUUGUUCAAGUUAACUCUUAUCUUUAUUAGUGGGCAAGAAUAGAAUGGAAGGAAAGUGGGAAACUGGUGUUAACUUGGUUCAUAGAUGGAAAGCAUUUUAAAAUACAAGUUCGUCAUAGGUUUCUUACACUCCAAGCAACACAAAUUACAAACUUGAUAAUAGUACGAAGAAAGUACCCAGACAUAGCAGCCACCAUGAGUGAUGAAAGCAUACCGACUGAUCCAUCUCCAGAUCCUUCCUUCUUAAGUUUAAGUGCAGCUGCUUCAGCCUUGCUCCUGAAUAUUUGAUAGAAAUAAUAGUAAACACCCUGUAGCAUACAAAUAGGAUGAUAAGAAUCAGGCAUUUAGGGACUAAAUGUGUCUUCAAUCUUUAUACUUAUAACAAGAUUUUAACGAGUUAUUUACUCACUUAGUUUACCUACAAGGCUACAAAUUUAGUAACUUCAAUGAGAUGCAUGUGACAGCAAAAUCAAGCAGUCACAUAGGCGAACAGUGAUCAUAUAGUAUACUGUAUACAUUGCCUAACGUAUUUCGUUAAUGUUCUUAAUCACUGUUUAAAUUUGAAACAAGUUAUCACAUACCCAUGUGGGAAGAGCUUAUUAGAACUAUAAAAGGCUGCACGAUGUUUGCUUCUUAUUGAAGGAAUAAAAGAAAAAAACGAAGUCAGGUUAGCAUAACAUGAUAAAGGAAACACAAAACAAAAUGUUACCAAUCACUUGCCACAUACUAAUGUACAUGGGCGAAACUUUUAAAGGGCGGGAGGGGGUGGCUGACCCCCCGAACUUUUCGCUCAGUAGUGGAGAGUAUGUAGUUUUCGUAUAGAGAUUUUUGGGUAUAUACGUUUUCGACCCCCCAGUUUUAUAGAAAUUUUUAGGUCCAGUGACUUCCGUCUGCCCGGUCAGAAAUCUCAAGCUUCGCCACUGCUAAUGUAUUGUCUUAUAAAUGUCACAUUGACUAUACUACCAAGUGUUUCUUGGAAUUUAAAUUGUAGUUAAUGAAAAAAAAAACUACUUGAUCAAACUAUGAUAGAAAGAUAUACAUUCCGUCCGUGUCAUUGAAGUUGCAAUAGUUUCAUUUUCACGUGUCGCAUGUAAAUUCACAAGUUCUCCAUAUCCAGAAAAGUUAAAGCAAAAUUUGCUUCACUCAUCUUCAUUAUGAACAUUUAUGAUGAAUUAUCAAUGUAACAAAAAGCUUCAUCAAGAUCUCUCCCUGUAGCCGAUAGUAAAGAUGAAAAUAAUUACAUUACACUAAUAGUCAACAAGCGUGUGGUGAUACAGACUUUAAUUAAAGUUGCUAUCUUCUAGAAAUAUUAGAAGUCCCAAAAAGAUCACAUUAGACUAGUGGGUACGGAGAGCCUCAUCCCCAAGGGGAUGGGCUGCCACGUCACCGCCACGUAGGAGGGGCUUGAAGGGGAUGGACCUAGGGGGUGGGGGAUGAACCCCUUUAUAUAUAUAUAUAUGUAUGUAUGUAUAGCUGUGUGUGUGUGAGGAGAGAGAAAUUGAGGCCCGUCAACAUCGGCUGGUGGGAGUCGAAAAGGACGAGCCGGAGGAAUGGGGGGGGGGGGGGGGUGUGGGGGUCCGGCGCCGGGCCAGGCCGGGCCUAAGCCGGCCCCCAUACCGUCUGGUCUUAUACAUUAAGAUGGCACGUUUUCCACAGCAAUGACCCCACUUGAUAUCCAAACUUGUUACAACUUCAAUACAUGAUAUAGUUUCUUUUUCUCAAUGCCCAUACCUUUGUUUAUUUAUUCCUUUUUAUUUAGUCGAACCAUUAACUCACAUAAAUCUACACCCUCGUCCACCAUGGCCUUCAACCAAGGGAAUAUUCGAAUAAACACCUUUCCUACACACCUUGACACCGUCAUAACUCUGUUAAUUCAACAUAAAUUAGUUGUGACAAAAUUUGCAAUCAAUUUAGAUCCAACUUCACCUCUAUAUGCUUAAUUCUAGCACACCAUUGGUAAACAUACAAUCAAUAAAUCGUACCAUACAAAUGUAUUAAUGCACAAUACAAUUCCAAAACCAAAUUAGUGCCUUUUCAUCCGAACAAUUGUUAACAGAACAAAACACCGUGUUAGGUUUUUAUCUAUCUCCUCCCAAAAUCCAACAACUUCAGCAGAAAGUAACCUAACGAACAUAUACCGUAUGGGAUUCAGUUUUCAAUUUAGCUCUUUUUAUAAGUAGUUAACGCGGUAUUGCGGUAAAAUAUUGGAUAUCGGUCAACGACUGAUAUUUGAGAUAUCGGUUAUCACGGUGGGAUAUCAGUAAUUUUAAUAUCAUGCUAAAUUUAUAUACAUAGCAAUUUAACACUAACAAUUCAGUAUACAUACUCUCCUACCAUUAACAAAUUAACCUUUUGCAACUUGCAAAACACUAACAAUUGUAGCAAGUAGGAACUGACUAAGACUUAAAACACUAACAUUUAACCAUAACAACUAACAAUUAAGAUUUAAAACACUAAUAGCAGCAAUAAGAAGAAAGACGAAUGGUAGAAAUAAGAAGAAAGAUAUUGUUAUCGGGAAAAUCAGUGAUAUAUCAAUCAGAUAUAGGUCCAAUAUCGCCAAUAUUAUCAGUACCGAUAUUCUGACUGAUAUUCUGCACCGAUACCUCGGUAGGGGAUCGAUAACCGAUAUAUCACUGUUCACUGAUAUAUCGGGAUAUUAACUACGUAUGUAUCGGUACUAUGCAAUACGGUAGUGGUUUGGGACUUUUAGCCGUACCUUACAAUACCGACCGAACAUAUACGGUGCGGUAUUCGGCUUUGAAUUUUGCUCAAUUUCAAUGUAGGUACGGUCUAAUUUUGGAACUUUUAACAGUACCGUACCAUACCGGCUCCAACAGAACAUAUUAUUCCCUUUUGUUUUUUGCUAAACUUUGAUGUCUGGUCCGGUACCAGUACCGAUCACAUCCCUAACCUAAACCGAGAGUAAAUUCACCUGCGAACAAGCAGUCCCAACCAGUGACGGCGUCAAGCCACCGUAUAAUCGACUCCAUCCUUCUUGCUGAACAACCUAACUCAAUCAACACAAUCACUCCAUUAAUAUUAUUAAAUUAUCAAACAAAUUCACACAAACUCAACUCCUAAACCUAAUUAAGUCAAAAGUAAAGCAUCCGAAUGAUCACCUGAUACAUCUGUUCAACAGUCCCCGCUUUUUUCUUCUGUUUCUUCGGAUCUCUAUCGGUUUGUUGACGCGUAUUUACCUGCAAUUGAUUAAACAGUUGACGAAUUGAAGCAGUAAUUGAAGUAAUAAUUAAUAAUUGACGGUUUGUUGACGGAGAUCAGAAUUACUGACGGUUUGUAGAGGAUAAGUGAUGAGUUGAGCGAUGAUUCCGCCACCGGCGCCGGCGAGUCCGUUAAUUAGGGCGUCGGACAUUGCUGUAUCUCUAUUCUCUCUCUAUAUCGUCUGUUGAGAGUACCAAAAAAAUGGGGGAUCUAGAGAGAGAAAGAGUGUUGGAAGAGGGAUCGGAAAAGGAAAGAAAUUAUGUCUGACUUUUACUCAGUCGUGUUGUGAAGUUGGGUGGGAAUGUAGUUUCAUUUUGUUACAACUCAGUCCCUGAAGCUUCUAAACAUUGAGUUUGGUCACUUAACUACUUCGUGUCCGCCAGUCCGGUGCUUAGGGGUGUUCAAAAAAAUCCGAAUUCGAAACCGAAUCCGAAAUAUCCGAAAACCCGUAUCCGAAAUAUCCGAAUUUUCGGAUAUCCGAAAAUCGGAUAAUCCGAAAAAUCGGAUUCAGAUUCGGAUAGUGAUUUUGAGAAUUUUCGGAUAAUCGGAUUAUCCGAAAAUAUCCGAAAAUUUAAUUUUUAUUUUUUUCGGAUAUCCGAGUAUCCGAAAAUAUCCGAAGUAUCCGAAAAAUAUCCGAAGUAUCCGAAAAAUAUCCGAAAGUUAUAUUCGGAUAUCCGAAACUAUCCGAAAAAUCUGGUUCCA
rnacentral:lncRNA from 1 species